UUAAAGGUAGUUCUUGUUAGAAGAGCUGCUUGAAUGUUGUGAUAUUCAUGAGGUAUGUUGAUAUUCAACAUCCAAUAAGAUGUCUUUCCGUUCAUUUAGCUUGGUGGACAACUAAGAUCCAUGAAAUAACGUACUCAGAAAUGUCAUUGGCUAAGUCAAUUUUAGAUUACGCUAUCAUGAAUAACUCUAAAAUAGAGUUUUAAAAUAGUUCCACAAAUUUGUUUCACAGCUCUACGUGAAGAGGACCAUAGUCUUGCAAGAAGAGUGAGUUAAAGAAGAUUUUUAAUCCGGGACUAAUGUGCAAAGGAGGCUGACAGCAGGAAGCACGACACGUCUCUGGGUCUGGCACAGGCGUGCCAGCGAGGACUGCGCUGCGAGAGGAGGCAGCGGGGUGGCCUGCCGGGGCAGCUCCCUCCACCGCGGCAGCCCCCCGGAGACGCGAGAGGGCCAGCAGCUGAUUAGAGGACCCAGGUCAGAGAUUCUUGAACUCAGAAUUUGGCAGGCGAACGGAGGAGGAAGGGAUUUUACAGUAUUGUGUUUUAAAAUGCAUUUAUUCAUAACUUUGAAAGCUGCAGACAUAUUGUGUUACUGUGUCAGGAUCUGAAGCAGAUGUUUAGACUUUACAGAAAAGGAUGUACGGAGAGAUUUUGAGUUUUCCUGUAAUUUUAAAUAUUUUUACCUCUAGUUUUAUGCACUGAUGCCUACAGAGAGACAAUCUAUGUAAAUAUAUCAAAAUGCCUGAAUAGGAAGGGGUUUUUUUCACCAUUAGGCUAAGUAAAUCAAGAUGAACGCAUAGUCUUCUGCCAUAACACUGGAGCCAACGCAGUGCGUCAUUUGCUAAGAAGCUUGAAAAGGAAAGGGUACAGGAAUCACUAAGGGUAAGAUUUCUCAGAGUUUUCCAAAAUGUGAUCACACCUUAACAGAAGGGUUACAUCACUGAUCAGUUUAUUCAUUUCAUAGUUGUUUGGGCUGUCUCUGUUUCCAUAUGUAUUUGCAUAAGAGAUGUUGGUGAAGCCAGACCAAUUAGUAGGUGGAAAAAAACUAUGUUAUAGGAAAGGAAUAAUGUCUCCUUAGUUUUCUGUUAAUAUGAUUUAUUAGGUUUUUGUAAGAAGGAAAUACCUACCGCACCACUGUCCCUGAAAGCCACUGGAAAAGGUUCUUCAGUCAGCUCUACCAGUCUUCACGUUGCAUCUGUCUGCUGAAGAACAUGUACAGGGAGCAUCUACCUGUGUGUUUUAGUUCAGCUCAGGAGUGCACUUUUGAGGAGAAUCUCCCAGUUGUCUCCACUUACCUUGCUCUGAUUUGCGUUGGCAAGUGAUCUUGGAGCACGUGAACUGGAUUCCUUUCACAUGAAACUACGCUGGAAGAUAUGCUCCAGCAUGGAGGCUAAUGUGCUCCAGCUGCUAGAGGGCUUUCAGGCCCUGGGAUCAAACUGGUCCAAAGUUUAACCGAAGAAAAAAAAAGUCAAAAAGCCCUACCCUUCAAAUGUCUACAGUAUGGACUGUGGGUCCUCAGCAGCAACUUAGUCCUGAAGUACUCUUCCUGUUGGUCUGAACUACGUGCUAAUGUGGAUGUAUGUGCUUAGCCUCAGUAACCAUUGUUUU
rnacentral:lncRNA from 1 species